UUAACUGGAGGGAGGUGGGGAUGACGUCAAGUCAUCAUGGCCCUUACGGCCUGGGCUACACACGUGCUACAAUGGUCGGUACAGAGGGUUGCCAAGCCGCGAGGUGGAGCUAAUCUCACAAAACCGAUCGUAGUCCGGAUCGCAGUCUGCAACUCGACUGCGUGAAGUCGGAAUCGCUAGUAAUCGCGAAUCAGAAUGUCGCGGUGAAUACGUUCCCGGGCCUUGUACACACCGCCCGUCACACCAUGGGAGUGGGUUGCACCAGAAGUAGCUAGUCUAACCUCACGGGAGGACGGUUACCACGGUGUGAUUCAUGACUGGGGUGAAGUCGAGCUGUCAUGCCCA
rnacentral:rRNA from 1 species